GCGUUGUCCGGAUUUAUUGGGCGUAAAGAGCUUGUAGGCGGUUCGGUAAGUCGGGUGUGAAAGCUCUGGGCUCAACCCAGAGAUGCCACCUGAUACUGCUGUGACUUGAGUCUGGUAGGGGAGCACGGAAUUCCUGGUGUAGCGGUGAAAUGCACAGAUAUCAGGAGGAACACCGGUGGCGAAGGCGGUGCUCUGGGCCAGUACUGACGCUGAGAAGCGAAAGCGU
rnacentral:rRNA from 1 species